rnacentral:tRNA from 1 species
GGGCGAGUGGCGGAAUGGCAGACGCGAUGGACUCAAAAUCCAUUGGCCGCAAGGUCGUGAGGGUUCAACUCCCUCCUCGCCCA